GAAAAUUUGGUUGAGGGUUUUUGAGUGAAGUUGAAGGGGAAAAGCCAUGGCAUUUUCUUCAUCGCGUUCUUCUUCUUGUGUUUUGAAUAAACUCCGAUUGUGCCAACGCUCCAUCUCUGCUAAGGCUUCUUCUUCACCGAAAGACAAAGACAGAGAGAGAUUGAUGUUUGAUUCAGAAAAAGACCUAACUUCAGGAAUCAGCAGACCACUUUCUGAGAUACUGAAAGAGCUGAACAAGAAAGUUCCAGAUUCACUCAUCAAGUUUCG
rnacentral:misc_RNA from 1 species